GUUAAACCGUGGGAAGUGGGGACGACGUCAAGUCAUCAUGGCCUUAUGUCCAGGGCUACAAACGUGCUACAAUGGCCGGCAUAAAGGGAGGCAAAACCGUGAGGUGGAGCAAAUCCCAGAAAGCCGGCCCCAGUUCAGAUUGCAGGCUGCAACUCGCCUGCAUGAAGUUGGAAUCGCUAGUAAUCGCGUAUCAGCUAUGACGCGGUGAAUAUGUUCCCGAGCCUU
rnacentral:rRNA from 1 species